GACGAACGCUGGCGGCGUGCUUAACACAUGCAAGUCGAACGGAAAGGCCCUGCUUUUGUGGGGUGCUCGAGUGGCGAACGGGUGAGUAACACGUGAGUAACCUGCCCUUGACUUUGGGAUAACUUCAGGAAACUGGGGCUAAUACCGGAUAGGAGCUCCUGCUGCAUGGGGGGGGUUGGAAAGUUUCGGCGGUUGGGGAUGGACUCGCGGCUUAUCAGCUUGUGGGUGGGGUAGUGGCUUACCAAGGCUUUGACGGGUAGCCGGCCUGAGGGGGUGACCGGCCACAUUGGGACGGAGUUACGGCCCGGACUCCUACGGGAGGCAGCAGUGGGGAUUAUUGCACAAUGGGCGGAGGCCGGAUGCAGCAACGCCGCGUGCGGGAUGACGGCCUUCGGGUUGUAAACCGCUUUCGCCUGUGACGAAGCGUGGGUGACGGUAAUGGGUAAAGAAGCACCGGCUAACUACGU
rnacentral:rRNA from 1 species